GGGGAAUAUUGCACAAUGGGGGAAACCCUGAUGCAGCGACGCCGCGUGGAGGAAGAAGGUCUUCGGAUUGUAAACUCCUGUUGUUGAGGAAGAUAAUGACGGUACUCAACAAGGAAGUGACGGCUAACUACGUGCCAGCAGCCGCGGUAAAACGUAGGUCGCAAGCGUUGUCCGGAAUUACUGGGUGUAAAGGGAGCGCAGGCGGGCGAUCAAGUUGGAAGUGAAAUCCAUGGGCUCAACCCAUGAACUGCUUUCAAAACUGGUCGUCUUGAGUAGUGCAGAGGUAGGCGGAAUUCCCGGUGUAGCGGUGGAAUGCGUAGAUAUCGGGAGGAACACCAGUGGCGAAGGCGGCCUACUGGGCACCAACUGACGCUGAGGCUCGAAAGUGUGGGUAGCAAACAGGAUUAGAUACCCUGGUAGUCCACACCGUAAACGAUGAUUACUAGGUGUUGGGAGAUUGACCCUCUCAGUGCCGCAGUUAACACAAUAAGUAAUCCACCUGGGGAGUACGACCGCAAGGUUGAAACUCAAAGGAAUUGACGGGGGCCCGCACAAGCAGUGGAGUAUGUGGUUUAAUUCGACGCAACGCGAAGAACCUUACCAAGUCUUGACAUCCUCUGACGAACGUAGAAAUACGUUUUCUCUUCGGAGCAGAGAGACAGGUGGUGCAUGGUUGUCGUCAGCUCGUGUCGUGAGAUGUUGGGUUAAGUCCCGCAACGAGCGCAACCCUUAUGGUCAGUUACUACGCAAGAGGACUCUGGCCAGACUGCCGUUGACAAAACGGAGGAAGGUGGGGAUGACGUCAAAUCAUCAUGCCCUUUAUGACUUGGGCUACACACGUACUACAAUGGCGUUAAACAAAGAGAAGCAAGACCGCGAGGUGGAGCAAAACUCAGAAACAACGUCCCAGUUCGGACUGCAGGCUGCAACUCGCCUGCACGAAGUCGGAAUUGCUAGUAAUCGUGGAUCAGCAUGCCACGGUGAAUACGUUCCCG
rnacentral:rRNA from 1 species